rnacentral:rRNA from 1 species
GGGACUGUCCGGGGACAGAUUAACAGGAUUAGAUACCCUGGUAGUCCACGCCCUAAACGAUGGAUACUAGGCGUAAGAGGUAUCGACCCCUCUUGUGCCGCAGCUAACGCAUUAAGUAUCCCGCCUGGGGAGUACGGCCGCAAGGUUGAAACUCAAAUGAAUUGACGGGGACCCGCACAAGCGGUGGAGCAUGUGGAUUAAUUCGAUACUAACCGAAGAACCUUACCCAGACUUGACAUCGAUGGUAAGCCGUAGAAAUAUGGCCCUCUCCCAAAAGGAGACCUGAAGACACUUGUUGCAUGGCUGUCGUCAGCUCGUGCCGUGAGGUGUACGGUUAAGUCCGCCAACGAGCGCAACCCUCGUCCUGUGUUACCAGCAAGUAAAGUUGGGGACUCACAGGAGACCGCCGGUGUAAACCGGAGGAAGGUGAGGAUGACGUCAAGUCAGCAUGGCAGUUACGUCUGGGGCUUCACACAUGCUACAAUGGGCGCAACAAAGGGCAGCGAUACCGCGAGGUGGAGCCAAUCCCAAAAAUACGCCCCCAGUUCAGAUUGCAGUCUGCAACUCGACUGCAUGAAGGCGGAAUCGCUAGUAAACGCAGGUCAGCUAUACUGCGUUGAAUACGUUCCCGGGUCUUGUACACACCGCCCGUCAAGUCACCUGAAUUGUCUUCACCCGAAGUCCGUGGCCUAACCGCAAGGAAGGAGCGGCCGAAGGUGAGGGGAGUAAGGGGGACUAAGUCGUAACAAGGUAACCAAUCU